ensembl:misc_RNA Y_RNA Y RNA
GGCUGGUGUGAAGGUCAUGAGUUAUCUCCGUUGAUUGUUCACAGUCAGUUACAGGUCAAACUCCUUGUUCUACUCUUUCACCCUUUGUCGCUACUGUAGUUGACUUGUCUUAA